rnacentral:rRNA from 1 species
AACGAACGCUGGCGGCAUGCCUAACACAUGCAAGUCGAACGAGACCUUCGGGUCUAGUGGCGCACGGGUGCGUAACGCGUGGGAAUCUGCCCUUGGGUUCGGAAUAACAGUUGGAAACGACUGCUAAUACCGGAUGAUGACGUAAGUCCAAAGAUUUAUCGCCCAGGGAUGAGCCCGCGUAGGAUUAGCUAGUUGGUGGGGUAAAGGCCUACCAAGGCGACGAUCCUUAGCUGGUCUGAGAGGAUGAUCAGCCACACUGGGACUGAGACACGGCCCAGACUCCUACGGGAGGCAGCAGUGGGGAAUAUUGGACAAUGGGCGAAAGCCUGAGCCAGCAAUGCCGCGUGAGUGAUGAAGGCCUUAGGGUUGUAAAGCUCUUUUACCCGGGAUGAUAAUGACAGUACCGGGAGAAUAAGCCCCGGCUAACUCCGU